rnacentral:rRNA from 1 species
AACGAACGCUGGCGGCAUGCCUAACACAUGCAAGUCGAACGAGACCUUCGGGUCUAGUGGCGCACGGGUGCGUACCGCGUGGGAACCUGCCCUUAGGUUCGGAAUAACUCCCCGAAAGGGGUGCUAAUACCGGAUAAUGUCUUCGCACCAAAGAUUUAUCGCCUUUGGAUGGGCCCGCGUUGGAUUAGCUAGUUGGUAGGGUAACAGCCUACCAAGGCGACGGUCCAUAGCUGGUCUGAGAGGAUGAUCAGCCACACUGGGACUGAGACACGGCCCAGACUCCUACGGGAGGCAGCAGUGGGGAGUAUUGGACAAUGGGCGAAAGCCUGAUCCAGCAAUGCCGCGUGAGUGAUGAAGGCCUUAGGAUUGUAAAGCUCUUUUACCCGGGAUGAUAAUGACAGUACCGGGAGAAUAAGCUCCGGCUAACUCCGUG